rnacentral:tRNA from 1 species
GGGCCGUUAGCACAGUUGGUAGUGCGUCUAGAUGGCAUCUAGAAGGUCGCCGGUUCGAGCCCGGCACGGUCCA